GGGGCCGAUUUGGUUUUGACAAUACGGCCGAUUUUUUAGUAAGCAUGUCGAGUGUGGAAUGUAUACUCGUUAAUAAAUGUGUUCAAACUUUUAAGUGGAAACACUUCUUACGCUCUCGCGGCUUAAUCUAACUUAGUUAGAUUACCUAAUUCCAGCUACUAGGUAGCGGAACGAGAUGCCUCGCUGCUGGUUUCGUCUUUUUGCGGCAGACUUGAGGUAUCGUACAAAUUGACUAGCUAGUGCUGUGUCUAGGUGCACUAGCGAAAUUUAAUAGACUAAGCCAUAAUUUUGCAGUUCUUAGUGUGAUUAUGGUCGAAAACCAAAUAAGAACUACACAUGUAGAAAGCUAACGAAUCCCAUAUCUGGACGAGGGUUCGAGUCCCUCCGGCUCCACAU
rnacentral:tmRNA from 1 species